AUUGAACGCUGGCGGCAGGCCUAACACAUGCAAGUCGAGCGGAUGAAGAGAGCUUGCUCUCUGAUUUAGCGGCGGACGGGUGAGUAAUGCCUAGGGAUCUGCCUGGUAGUGGGGGAUAACGUUCCGAAAGGAACGCUAAUACCGCAUACGUCCUACGGGAGAAAGCAGGGGACCUUCGGGCCUUGCGCUAUCAGAUGAGCCUAGGUCGGAUUAGCUAGUUGGUGAGGUAAUGGCUCACCAAGGCGACGAUCCGUAACUGGUCUGAGAGGAUGAUCAGUCACACUGGAACUGAGACACGGUCCAGACUCCUACGGGAGGCAGCAGUGGUGAAUAUUGGACAAUGGGCGAAAGCCUGAUCCAGCCAUGCCGCGUGUGUGAAGAAGGUCUUCGGAUUGUAAAGCACUUUAAGUUGGGAGGAAGGGCAGUAAGUUAAUACCUUGCUGUUUUGACGUUACCGACAGAAUAAGCACCGGCUAACUUCGUGCCAGCCGCCGCAGUAAUAC
rnacentral:rRNA from 1 species